AUUGGAAGGAGGUCUCAAGUGUGGUUCCACAGGGAUCUGUUCUGGGCCCGAUAUUGUAUAACAUCUUUAUUUAAUGACCUGAAUGUUGGAAUAGAGAGCAUCCUGAUCAGACUUGCAGAUAAUACAAAGCUGGGUGAGGGAGGACCGGUUUGCA